rnacentral:tRNA from 1 species
GCAGGGGUGGCGGAGCGGUCAAACGCGGCAGACUCAAGAUCUGUUGGCCUAGCGCCUACACAGGUUCAAAUAGAAGAAACGCAGGGGGACGUAUCCCCCUUCAUUUCAUUCUAUUUUUCUGAUACCCCCUAUAUAUGGAGUACAGCGAAAUAGGACAGUUCCAAAACUUAAUCUAAGGAACUGAAAACUGAAAAUCCUGUCCCCUGCA